CAUAGGUUUAGGGCACUGGAAGGUCCNUAAACCGAAAGGGGCUCUGCCCGCCCGAGGAUGGGCCGGCGGCCGAUUAGGUAGUUGGUGGGGUAACGGCCCACCAAGCCCAUAAUCGGUACGGGCAGUGAGAGCUGGAGCCCGGAGAUGGACACUGAGACACGGGUCCAGGCCCUACGGGGCGCAGCAGGCGCGAAACCUCCGCAAUGCUCGAAAGAGCGACGGGGGGACCCCAAGUGCCGUGGUACAACCACGGCUUUUCCGGAGUGUAAGAAGCUCCGGGAAUAAGGGCUGGGCAAGGCCGGUGGCAGCCGCCGCGGUAAUACCGGCGGCCCGAGUGGUGGCCACUAUUAUUGGGCCUAAAGCGUCCGUAGCCGGGCUUGUAAGUCCCUGGCGAAAUCCCACGGCUCAACCGUGGGGCUUGCUGGGGAUACUGCAAGCCUUGGGACCGGGAGAGGCCGGGGGUACUCCUGGGGUAGGGGUGAAAUCCUAUAAUCCCAGGAGGACCGCCAGUGGCGAAGGCGCCCGGCUGGAACGGGUCCGACGGUGAGGGACGAAGGCCAGGGGAGCAAACCGGAUUAGAUACCCGGGUAGUCCUGGCUGUAAAGGAUGCGGGCUAGGUGUUGCUUGGACCUCGAGUCCAAGCAGUGCCGC
rnacentral:rRNA from 1 species